ensembl:snoRNA
GUCCACUCAGAAACUCCUUGCCGGGCUGCUGUGUGUGGGCCACCGAGCCACAGUGAUGGAGUUGAGGGUCUGAGGAG